AUACCUUGUAUAUCCACAAGGUGGCAGUAAUGCAAAAACAGUUGUAAUGAAACCGCGCAGAACAAGAAGGUUUCACGGCUUGUGCCUGCUCAUGCGCAAGACUUCAAAUUUAACUGAAAAAGGCUGUUUUGGCGCCAAGCUACUGUUUCUUUGAGAGAUCCUGCCUUUACCUGCUCCCUCCUAUACUGAUGUGGUGUAUGUGGUAUUGCUGAGCUUGUAUGUGGUGGAAGCAGAAUAUGUGAGGAUUACUACUGCUGCACAUGUUCCAAGGCUUUUUACACAACUUGACCAAUACACUGACCAGCUCAUAAAAGUCUUCAAGAAAAAAGGAGGCGUUGCAGGGAAGAA